rnacentral:lncRNA from 1 species
GUCCUUGGCUACACGCCCCACCCCGGCCUCGCUGGGUUCUGUGCUUUCUCGAACCUGGACUGCGGGUCCUACCGUUUUCUGUCUAGCGCGCCAUUCACCAGGUGGUUUCGAAACAGAAACCAAUCGUUUUUGGCAGCAGACACCAGAUGGGCAUCUUCCAAUUCAAUUCUGACACUUACCUGAAGAUAGCAUCAGAUGCUAUAGAUUAAGGAACUCAGGCUUACAGACUGCUUCUCAUUUCAGGCACCAAGUGCAAAGCCAGGCCUCUAGAACUUUUGGCUAGCCAGUUCCAUAGAGCAGGGUACUCAUGACCUCCUCCUUGGUCCAAUUAACCUGCUCAAGCAACUUAUAGAAUUCAGGGAAACACUUAUGUUUACCAGUUUACUGUAAAGGAUAUUGCAAAGGAUCAGGACGAACAGCCUGGAAGAGAUCAACAGCAAGAUACAGGAAGGGGUGUGGAGCUUCUGUGUCCUCUCUGGAGGCAAUGAAUGGAGAAAUCUCCCUAAGGUCAGCAUUCUAAUUAAUUGCCUCACUGUGGCUGCUAUAG